UUUUAGGAUCCUUUAGGAUCCACACCAUUGGUACAUUUUCUUUUUUU
rfam:Pongo abelii chromosome 11.